CUACAUUGCGAUUGCCACUUAGUCGCCCUUAUCCGUUUUAUGAGAACAAGGCGAUUGGAGUUAAAGCCCUUCUCGUGGAGUACGGAACCUUCCUGUCAAAACCCUCUUAAUUUAAAAGACUUGUUGUUGAAGGACAUUUCACUUCAAGAAGUAGUUUGUGAUUCAGGGAAUGCGACAGAUCAAGUCUACACAGUAGAUGUGACGCCUCUAAACUCAAGGCCCAAAGCAGGAAAUAAUUAUACAUCUCUUUGUAACAUUUCGGGCAACGGGGUACUGGACAUCAUCACAAAUUUAAAGGUGAAGUGGUACCACAAUUCAAAGCUGCUGACCAGUCAGUGUACCUUGGAGGAUGUGUCAAAGGCGGAGAAGUAUUCGUGUGAGGUACUCACCCCUCAAGAGAAUAGCAUCAGUUUAGAGAUGACAGUGAUGGAUAUACAAAAAGAUGAUGUUGGGAUUUUAACCUGUGAAUUGACUCAGCAGGUGAAGGAGAACGGGCUACGGAAAGACGAUUUGUUAGAAUAUGAGUCAGUGGUAAUCCAAAUCAGAGGUAUAUGUAGAGGAAGAAGACCAUGCGUAGAAGUCAAUGUAUAUGUAGAUAUUGUCCUGACUUCAAUGAAUGUAACGUGAAGAUAACGAACAGUGAUCAAUCUCACAACCCCUUUUAUGAACGCAAAAUAAGAAGUUGAAGAAACGCGGAUCAUGGACGUACCAGAAGUGAGAUCGGGUGUCUUUGAGGCGGAAUCAUUCUCUGUCGACCGACCACACCCGCCGUUAACCCGAUAUCUUAAUCAAGUAAACAUUUUCCGUACGCAAAAUAACAUUUUUUAUGAAACAUGUUACACAGCAUUUGAUGCAAUGUUAGGUUGGUGAAAUAUCAAUAGGAGUUAAACGUUUAGAAUUAAUAAGAGGGGUUGUUUGCUCUUCCUACGCACCUCUUCAAACUUCUGGUGUGUCCAGGUGUUCGUAUUUGACCUGUUCUUAAUUUUAAACGCUUUAUUUAAUUUUUGAGAUUGAUUAUUCUUCGUUGCCUUCAAUUCAACACUUGAUCAGGCAAAUAACUAUCAUGUAUCUACAGUUUUUGUCAUUGUAUAAGACACUAGGGUUGGUUUUUCAAAUAACAAUUUGCCGUAUACGUCUAAACACGUGAUGCAUGCAUUCAUGACACAAUAUACAUGUAUCUUGACACUGUGAUAUUGGAAGCCUCGAAUUGAAACACCUUUUGCAAGAAGAAUUCCAAUCCAGCAGGUAAACCUCAUGUAUAGAGAUUGGAUUUGUGUCGAAUUUCUAUAUUCCCCAUGCCAUCUGAAGUAAGUUUGUUACUUUAUUUAUUUUGUCUUUGGUAAAUAUUAUGAAUUGCCCGAAACAUGCAUGUAUGCGGACUUUUCUAUUGUUAAACAUUGUUUCACAGAUGCCACAAGUUGGGAUCUAUGUUGAGACGAUUUUGAAUUUCAGUUUGCACGUGACAUAAAUUAUUAAGAAUUGCAGACCAGAGGAUACACCUUUGACGAUAUAUAAUCAGACGGAUAUUGUUUGUUGUGUCGCUCAUGUUAUGAAUAAAGUGAUGGAAUGACGUGAAAACAAUCAUAUUUUAUGUCAACGAAGUAGUUAACCAUUCUCAGCUGGUAAUUCGAGUCAGCUGAUCUUUGCUUAACGCUGAUGAAUUGCAAAGUUGUGUUUUGAGAAGGAAAACAAAUAAUUUACAUUUAGGCAUACCAUUUACAUCACCGAUUGCUUAAUAGGCAAGAUGUCCCAAUGUCAUAAAAAACACGAUAUCCUUGUAUAUUUCAAAUGUAUAUCCGUAGUGUAGCAUAAUUCAGCGAAUAGCAAAGGCCAUGACUGUAUUUUUAAUUGGUGUUUUUAAAUAUAUCAAAAGAACGCAUUGUAUAAAAAUAAAAAGUGAUAAAUGAGAACCGCUCAGGUGUCGUGCUGAAAUAAAUCCAUGGAAGAUCCAUCGAUGGACUGUUGCAUAUACAACGUAAGAGACAUGUUUCCCUGUUUUCAACACUGGUGGGCAUUUAUAUUGAUAUAUUCAACAUUAGUAAGUAUUUAUAUUCCUAUUGUCAACGCUGGUGAGUAUAGAUUUGUGUUUUCUCAUAUAAUAAACUAAUAUAAAACAAACCAACCAGAACGUGCAUCGCUAUAUACAAGUUAUAUGUUUACUCGGAAGGUACAAACUCUACAUUUAUUUGGUAUUUACAAGUUUUACGUUUUAUUAGUGUCUAUAAGGUGUAAAUUUACUCGGUAAGUAUGAUGCAUACACCUGCUUGAUAUUUACAAGCUAUACAUGUACUUGGUAUUUACAAGUUAUACGUUUAUUUGAUAUACGCGUAUGUCUUGCUUUCGCAGCGAACGGGGGAUCGAAAAAUGAAUAACAUUAUUUUCAUGUUUACUGAGCUGAUUAUAAUGAUGAUAAUCACAAACAUGGAGCAUGGUAAGUAUUCAAUGUUUCAUUCAUUCUUUCUAUCAUUGUAUUUCUACAUUUCAAGAGAUCAGAAUUACGCCUGUCUCUUUGACGGCUCGACAAGGAUAUGAUCUGCGUGUGGACAGGUUUUUGGAGAUCACGGUCAGAUGCUGACAAGCUGGUUUUGCCUGGAUUUUGACACUUUCCUUCGAGAUUGGCAUUUCGCAACUUCCAUGGCCGUUAUGAUUAUCCCGCUUACCUGAUCAAAACAGAUGGUUCAUGGAGGGAUUAACCGAUCGACAACAAAUGUUGCCACCUCCUAGACAACUGAUCCCACCCCCAUUGAUUUGAAUGGUUUAUGUUUGUCAUAUUCUCAAUGUUAUGUUCUUUGUAGGACUUUUGAGAUUGAUCACGGUUCGUUAUCUCCAGUAUCCCUAGAAGAACUGAUCAGUAUGAGCCCAGGACACUGAACAUACUGUAGCUCUAAAUCUUAAUUCCAACGUGUUCAAUGUUGACCAGGACUUGAAUUGCUUUCAACACACUGAUCUCAUAUGAUUUCAUGAAAUGUGAGU